GACGAACGCUGGCGGCGGGCUUAACACAUGCAAGUCGAACGGAAAGGCCCUGCUUUUGUGGGGUUCUCGAGUGGCGAACGGGUGAGUAACACGUGAGUAACCUGCCCUUGACUUUGGGAUAACUUCAGGAAACUGGGGCUAAUACCGGAUAGGAUCUCCUGCUGCAUGGUGGGGGGUGGAAAGUUUCGGCUGUUGGGGAUGGACGCGCGGCUUAUCAGCUUGUUGGUGGGGUAGUGGCUUACCAAGGCUUUGACGGGUAGCCGGCCUGAGAGGGUGACCGGCCACAAUGGGACUACGAUACGGCGCAGACUCCUACGGGAGGCAGCAGUGGGGAAUAUUGCACAAUGGGAGGACGCCUGAUGCAGAAACGCUGCGUGCGGGAUGACGGCUUUCGGGUUGUGAACCGCUUUCGCCUGUGACGAAGCGUGAGUGACGGUAAUGGGUAAAGAAGCACCGGCUAACUACGUG
rnacentral:rRNA from 1 species